GUAACAAGGUUUCCGUAGGUGAACCUGCGGAAGGAUCAUUAUUGAAUUU
rnacentral:rRNA from 1 species